CUCGUAGGCGGUUCGUCGCGUCCGGUGUGAAAGUCCAUCGCUUAACGGUGGAUCCGCGCCGGGUACGGGCGGGCUUAAGUGCGGUAGGGGAGACUGGAAUUCCCGGUGUAACGGUGGAAUGUGUAGAUAUCGGGAAGAACACCAAUGGCGAAGGCAGGUCUCUGGGCCGUUACUGACGCUGAGGAGCGAAAGCGUGGGGAGCGAACA
rnacentral:rRNA from 1 species